UGUCUUGCAGGCCGUCAUGCA
rnacentral:miRNA from 10 species